rnacentral:tRNA from 1 species
GGGACUGUGACGCAGCGGUAGCGUGUUUCCUUUGCAGGGAAAAAGACGGAUGUUCGAAUCAUCUCAAUUCCA